AAGACCUCAAAUCAGGUGGAAUUACCUGCUGAACUUAAGCAUAUCAAUAAGCAGAGGAAAAGAAACUAACAAGGAUUCCCCUAGUAAUGGCGAAUGAA
rnacentral:rRNA from 1 species